rnacentral:lncRNA from 13 species
ACAUUUCUCUCUGCUCCUUGGUGAAAUUUGUAUAGAAUUGCAGGAAAUUGUUGUGAAAAUGCAUUUCUCUACAUCACCAAGAUGAGGCUUGAUUUUUCUCUCUGAUGCCAAAAGGCGGGCCUUUAAAAUAUUCCUUCCCAGGGUGCACUAUGGGUGUCAUUGCUGUCUUUAUUUAGUCAGCCAGCCAGCCAACACACCGGCUGUCUUUAUUUAGUCAGCCAGCCAGCCAACAGACCGGCUGUCUUUAUUUAGUCAGCCAGCCAGCCAACACACCGGCUGUCUUUAUUUAGCCAGCCAGCCAACAGACCGGCUGUCUUUAUUUAGCCAGCCAGCCAACAGACCGGCUGUCUUUAUUUAGUCAGCCAGCCAGCCAACAGACCGGCUGUCUUUAUUUAGUCAGCCAGCCAGCCAACAGACCGGCUGUCUUUAUUUNNNNNNNNNNNNNNNNNNNNNCCGGCUGUCUUUAUUUAGUCAGUCAGCCAACCAGCCAACAGACCGGCUGUCUUUAUUUAGUCAGCCCUCAU